UCCCCAUUAAGAAAUGGCGAUGGAGGCGCAA
rnacentral:piRNA from 1 species